rnacentral:lncRNA from 1 species
GUAGUAUAGAAAGAAAGGGAUUUGGAGGGUUCAAGAGAUCCCAUCAAAUGUAGAGCGAUGUGCGGUAGACACAUCUUUUGUUUCCAAAUUUAUUCAUCUCUGUGAUUGUUAUAAAUAAAGUUUUAUUUGUAAAUCGGAUAAUAUUUCCAUUGCUCUUUUAAUAUCUAUAGUCCUAUUAAAAGUAAAAAAAUUAGUUUUGGUCAUCCUUAUGGAAUUUAUAUAAAAUAUUUUUUAAUGAUAGAAUUAAUUUAGAGAUCAGUUAUAAAUUUAAUGGAUAAAUUAUUCCGAUCUUUGAUUAGUCAAUGGAUGGCCUUUAUUUUAUAGAUUACUAUAUUUCAUCAUAAAAUUAAUCAUAGGUUCAGUUAUAUAAGCACGAAUUAUUUCUACUAUUAGAUGUAUUAAAGGACCAUUUUAUAAGAGACAUUUAGAUGCAGUAACUAAAGCUACUAAAAAAACAUGCAUUUUUUUAGUAGAACCAUGCAUUUUGUUUUGGUAGCUUAAAAACCCAUCGGUUCUGGAGUUUUUGAGUGCCUAAGAAGAUGAGAACAAGAAAGGGGAUGCUCUAAAUCGGCGAUUAUUUAACGACUCAACCAUAAACUCUGGCUUUAGUUUCUGUUUU